GACGAACGCUGGCGGCGUGCUUCAUACAUGCAAGUCGAACGAGAAGCUGACUUCGGUCAGUGGACAGUGGCGGACGGGUGAGUAAUAUGUAGGAUAUCUGCCUUUAGGAUGGGGACAACAGAUGGAAACUUCUGCUAAUACCCCCUAUGAGCGUAGCUGAAAUGCUAUUCUUGAAAACUCCGGUGCCUAAAGAUGAGCCUGCAUCUGAUUAGCUAGUUGGUAGUGUAAUGGACUACCAAGGCGACGAUCAGUAGCUGGUUUGAGAGGAUGAUCAGCCACAAUGGGACAGAGACACGGCACAUACUCCUACGGGAGGCAGCAGUAGGGAAUUUUGCGCAAUGGGCGAAAGCCUGACGAAGCAACGCCGCGAGAACGAUUAAGCCCUUAGGGGUGUAAAGUUCUGUCAGUGGGGACGAAACUUGACGGUACCCACAGAGGAAGCACCGGCUAACUCCGUG
rnacentral:rRNA from 1 species